UAUAUUAUGGUGUAUGUGCAUAUAAAUUUUUGGGGUUUAAGGAAAAAGUUCAAUUCUUUUUAAUAUAA
rnacentral:tRNA from 1 species